rnacentral:rRNA from 1 species
UACGAAGGGGGCUAGCGUUGUUCGGAAUUACUGGGCGUAAAGCGCACGUAGGCGGGUUUGUAAGUAAGGGGUGAAAUCCCAGGGCUCAACCCUGGAACUGCCUCUUAGACUGCAAGCCUGGAGGUCAGGAGAGGCGAGUGGAAUUCCGAGUGUAGAGGUGAAAUUCGUAGAUAUUCGGAGGAACACCAGUGGCGAAGGCGACUCGCUGGACUGAUACUGACGCUGAGGUGCGAAAGCGUGGGGAGCAAACAGG